AUAAUAACAGUGAAUGAGAGAGUAGCAUAUAAUUGAUUUUACAGCGACCUGGGUAUGGUGAAAGCCAGGAAAUUAGUUAUAUGUGAAGAUCACUCAGGAGUUGGCAGGUUGAAUUUGAAGUAGGUCUGCCCGCUGACCGGCGUUACAGGUUGGAGUGAGUAUAAUUGCAAAUGAAUUGUGCAAUUGUACUAAAUAGGGUGGUACCGCGGUCCUUUCGCCCCUUGG
rnacentral:ncRNA from 1 species